AGAGUUUGAUCCUGGCUCAGAAUGAACGUUGGCGGCGUGGAUUAGGCAUGCAAGUCGAGCGAGAACCCGCAAGGGGGACAGCGGCGAACGGGGUAGGAAUACGUAGGUAACGUACCCUCGGGGCGAGGACAGCCACGGGAAACUGUGGGUAAUACUCGAUAAACUUCCCAAUCAUUAUCGGAGGGGAAGCAAUGGGUGUGAUUCCACCUGAGGAGCGGCUUACGCAGUAUCAGCUAGUUGGUGAGGUAACGGCUCACCAAGGCUACGACGCUUAGGGGGUGUGAGAGCAUGGCCCCCACCACUGGCACUGAGACACUGGCCAGACACCUACGGGUGGCUGCAGUCGAGAAUCUUCGGCAAUGGACGCAAGUCUGACCGAGCGACGCCGCGUGUGGGAUGAAGGUCUUCGGAUUGUAAACCACUGUCAGAGGGGAUGAAGUAUACGAGAGUUAUCUCUUGUAUUUGACAGAGCCUCAGAGGAAGCACGGGCUAAGUUCGUGCCAGCAGCCGCGGUAAUAC
rnacentral:rRNA from 1 species